rnacentral:rRNA from 1 species
UGCAAGUCGAGCGGCAGCGGGAAGUAGCUUGCUACUUUGCCGGCGAGCGGCGGACGGGUGAGUAAUGUCUGGGAAACUGCCUGAUGGAGGGGGAUAACUACUGGAAACGGUAGCUAAUACCGCAUGACCUCGAAAGAGCAAA